GUCAGACUCUGCGCUGCGUCGUGACGUCAGAAACAAGCGACUCCCCCCCCGGAAGUGAGAAGAGAACGAAAACGCGUGUGGACAGAGCAGCUGACUGCACUGAGGAGUCCAGCUUCAUGACUGUCCCUGCCACCCAUUUUGUGCCUCUGGCUAGUCGUCCCCAUCCUCAUCAUCCCCACCAUCGUCAUCCUCGCUGGGCUGCGAACCAAACUCUCAGUUGUGGGAUAAAAUAGCCGUGAUGUCAUCUUUGUUAUCUUUUUCAGCGACUCUUGUUUUCAUCCUCUCCUUCCUCUCCUCCCUCGCUCUCUUUCUUUCUUUCUGUCUCUCUGAGCUCCCAAACACAAAAGACAGAGAGGCCUCGACAGGACCCCAGUGUAUGCUGGUUGUCAAGGAGACAAGAAGACAGUGUUGGGUCUUUAAACUGCCUCGGAGGGGUGUGUGGAGUUAGGGGGGAGUUGGCCUUAUUUACAUGGGAAGAGGACAAGAGAGAGAGAGGGGUUUUGAAAUACAACUUUUGAGCCGUUUCCCUGCAGCUCAUAAGACUCCAACCGCUGUUACUCGGCUAAAAUCAUUACACUGCUGCUCGGUCAUCAAAUAUUUACCAAGCCAGAGAAAAAAAUCUGGAGCUGUUCAUUAUGUGGAGAACGCCGUGCAUACAUAGCAAUGUAAAUCAACCUGUCUUCUCUCGUCGCACACGCCCAUGCACACACAUUUGGAUCGUAGGCGCUGGGAGCUCUGGGCCCCAGUCGUAGCAAAUGGAGAGAGUCUGACUGCAGAAUGCAUUUCCAGAUGCUUGAAGAGUGUUUCAUACCAGAUUUGGGGAACAAGAGGAAAAAAAUGCAAAACUUGACUACAAAAUAGGAAAAACAGAGAGAGAGGAGUACACACCCAUUCAAACGCACACGCAUGGACCACCACCCAUCCCUCUCCACAACAUAUUUCUUUUUUAUUCUCUCUCUCUCUCUCUC